CCGUCGCCACCACCAAUCCCCUCCUGCCCGUCCGUCGAAACCUUCUCCACCAACCCGUCGCCACCACCCCCGUCUUCUCCAAACCUCUUCAAUCAACCCGAAGCAACAAAAUCGUGGGCGUCGGUCGUCACCCCUCCCCUCCGCCGGAAAUCAAGGCCAAAGGAGAUGUCAUGGCUAUGGGCUGAAGCUUUGAGAAAAAAA